rnacentral:sRNA from 1 species
UUAUGCGCUUCUGCCUCCUGACUUGAUUCUUUUACCUAAUACUUCCUGAGUUUCGUUUCUUUGGUAACUCUCUUUGAAUAACAGCAGCCCUACCCAUAAGAACAUCGUGGCUUUACAGUGGAGAUGGGAAAAGAGUUCAAAACCACUUACUUAUUUCUUUCUAUAACAUAUUUUCACCUUAGCCGCAGAAAAAAGAAGACCCACAGCUACCUCGGAAAAGCUCCCCGAAAUCCACAGCGCCUGUCAUGGAUUUGUUGGGCCUUGAUGCUCCUGUGGCCUGCUCCAUUGCAAAUAGUAAGACCAGCAAUACCCUAGAGAAGGAUUUAGAUCUGUUGGCCUCUGUUCCAUCCCCUUCUUCA